GAACCCCCAGGACCCGGGAAUGACCUCUAGUGGUUGAGAAUGGGUCACCUCUGACAGCUAGUGAGAAAACAGGACCUCCCUCAUACAGGCAAGGAAGUGAGUUCUGCUAACACCCUGAGGGAGCCUUGGAAGCAGAUCUUUCCUGAGUUGAACUUCCAGAUGAAAACACACGGGCCGACAUCUUGACUUCAAUCAAGUGAGACCUUAGGCCGAGAACCCAAUGAAAACGUACCUGACUCCUGCCCUUCAAACUGUUAAUUUGGUGCGAACUUACUUUGUUCAUGUGGACUUUACAUAUCAGAUACUGGAUACACAUCGCAAUAGCAGGACCCCGUAAAUACAGUCUUCUGGAUUUUCACCACAGCAUGAUGGAUUCUCAGCUUCAUAAACUGUAUAACUCGUGUGUAUAAACUUCCCUAAUUACUAAUACCUGGCUCUGUUUUAAUUCUGCUUCCAUAUGUUCUUGACUUCUCUGCAGAUAUAACAGUAAGUUUCAUGUCUCAUUGCUCAAUUAGUUGCUGUUGUUAGCUUAAUAAGUGAAAGGCUUUCUGGUGUCAUUGACCUGAUUUUUAGGAUUGCAAGAGGCUGUAUACAUCAUUUGUAUUUAUUGCCAAAUAAACCUUUGUAAGUGUAUGC